rnacentral:lncRNA from 10 species
GAGAUCAUGCCACUGCAUUCCAGUCUGGGCCACAGAGCAAGACACUGUCUCAAAAAAAAAAAAAACCUGAAUAGAAUAUGGACUUUAGCUAAUAAUCAUAUGUCGACAUUGGUUUAUUAGUUGUAGCAAAGGUACUGUCCUAAGGCAAGAUGUUAAUUGUAAGGGAAACUGUGUGUGUGGUAGGAGGGACCUAGCUGUACUAUCAUCUCAAUGUUUCUGUAAAACUAAAACUAUUCUAAAAAGAUAAAUGUUUUUCUUUUUUAAAUGAAGCCAGGCAAGACAAUCCAUGGACUUAAUCCCAGGAAGACCUGCAGGUAGGAGCCUCGAGAUACGGUAAGUGUAGAGACAAGAGUGAGUUUGCUUGCUGGAGGGAAAGCAUUUGAGAGAAUCGGAGAGAAAAAUAUGCAGGACUAGGAAGAAGGAGAGAAUCCGGGGCUAAGGGGAGACUGAAGCAGGCAUGAAAUGGAGGAAGUAGCCCUCAGGCUAAGUCUUAAAGCAUGGAAAGAAUUCGGGUAGGUAGAAAUGGAGGUAGUCCUCUUAAAAACUUAGAAAAAUGCGAACGAUGAAAGAUCUCAAAAGGAAUGUGCCAUUGACUAGAAGAAUCCAUGGCUGCAUUAUGCUUUAAGUGGCUUUUUUUAAAUAUAUAUGAUGAACCGAGCUUGGGGAAAACCACUUUGGAUCACAGGGGUGAUGACAAGGAGGAAGAGGUUGAGUAAAAAGAAGAGAUACCAUUCUGCAAACUUUUUUUUUUCUAACACAUUCAGGACCUAGUUUUAAAAUACGAAUAUUGUAAAGGAGAUAAUUAAUGGGAACAUGUUAAUGGGAGGGAAUAAAUUCUAAAAUCUCUCAUGGGGAUUUCUAAACUCUGAUUACCCUUCUUUCCUCCCAGGUAAAGUUUGAGAGCUCAUCAGUAUUCCAUGGAAGAGGAAGAUCUGUCUUGACAUAUAGAGGCACAGAAACCGGGAAGAUGAAGAAAAUGUUUCGUGAUCCUAAGAAUUUUCCAGUUCAAUUCAGAAGAUAAAUGCCUUAAAGAAUUAUAAAGAAAAUUAAAUAGGAAGAGAACUACAGUAAAUCAGUAAUAAGCAGUAAGUAAAACAGAAGUAAAAAUCAACAUGCUGAAGGAAUACGGAGAAAGGAAGGAGCAGGGAAGUGACACCUAUCAGGCAUACAUAGCUGUGUAGGGCACUUUAAAGACAUUGUUGCUUUUACUUUUGAUAUCUUCCUUCCAAGGUAGGAAUCAUUGUCCCUGUUUUGUAGUCCGGAAAGUUAAAUCACAGAAGGGUUGAGUGAAAAAUGCAGUGUCACACAGUAAAGGAAAAGCAGAUCUGGAAUUUGAAAUCGAGUCUAUCUGACUUCAAAACUUAUGCCAGUGGGAAUCCAUGGACAGCUUAUGGAGAAGAAGGCAUUAGAGCUGGAGAAACCACAAAGACCCACUUUGCUCCAGAAGGAGGGGACAGAUGAGGCAAAGACUGGGGGGAAGCUCUGGAGAUGAGGACACACCCUCAGGAAAAGCCAGAGAUGCGAUGCGCUGGAAACAGGCUGGACACUGGGAAAUGUAGACAUGCAGGACACUGGCUGCCACGCACAUUGUGGAGGGCCUUGAUGCUACACCAAGGAAUUGGACUUGAUGCUGUAAGGGCUGAGGACCUAUUGGAAUGGAAUCCCAGAGUCCAGGACUGAGUUUGGUCUUUAAGUGCAGUCAUGUCCAGGGCUAUCUGGACAGCUGAUGGGAUAGACCCAGAGGGAUCUAUGUGCAAUAAUCUCCUCAAAUGGGCCAUGAUGAAACCCUUGGGAGCUCACCCUCAGAUAUGACUGUAAGGAGCAGGAACACCACUAGUCCCCAAGUGGUGUACGUGGCUGGGUAAGGACCCUCACUGGGUGGAGGUGAGGCAGGCACAGGACUCAGAUGGGACAACACUUGGAAAACAAAGGAGAGACCAUUAAGUAUAUCAUAAAGGGCUGACAUUUAAAGUUUCUUCUGGUCCAGAUCCCUGGACUAACAUCUUUGGGAGGGGGCCGUGAUGAAACCCAGUCACUUUCACACCUGGGGCAACCAAGUUUCUCCGUGAAUGCAAAGGCAGGAUGUGAUGAAGCUCUAUGGCCUCAAAAUUGUUACUUUCCAGGUAAGAAAGGUACGUUCAUCAUAUUUUACUAUGUGGUCCACUGGAAGUGGGAAGGGGAAAGGACUUGUCGUGGGAAUAAAAGGCACACGCAGGACACCCAGACACUUUCAGAGAACUUGAAGACAGUUAUCAUAGCGGGACUAUAGGUGCACACAUUGUGGAGGGCCUUGAAUGCCACACUUAAUUCUGUGAGCACUGGGGAUUCAUUGUGAAAAGACCACAGAUGGAUGUGGAUGACAAACACUGCUGAUUUUAAGGAGGGGUUCAAGAGCUACACAUGGAAAGGAUGUGGUUCCAAGUAAGUCAAGGUAUCCCCAAGUGUGGUCUACAGGUUCCUAGUGGCUCCCAGUGGCCUCACAAGUGGUCUGCAGGUGGUGGAAUUGUUUCAAGUGAAAGCAUGAUGAAACAACCGUGUUCGUAUGCAUUUCACAAAUUUGCAAUGUAAGAUUAAUGUAAUUUUUCCAAGAAAUCUCUUCCAUAAUUACUACAUGCUUUACAGUUUUACAUGUACUAUAGGGAUUAUGUUGUCAGUUCACCUAAGGUACUCUGUUAAUAGGAUAUCUUACCUAUUGUUUCUUCAUCUCAUUGCACACACUUGUACAUUUUGGGAAAUAUAUAUAGUACUGUGCUGUUGCUAUUGUUUUGUUGUAUGCUAAUGAGAACACUGGUGGCUGGCAGCCCCUAGGAGGCUUCUGAAUGUGGCUGGUCACUUUCAGCCCCACCUCCUAACAUCUGGGGAGGGAAGAGGGGCGGAAGGUUGAGUUGAUCACCAACGGCUAAAUAUGUAAUCAAUCAUGCCUAUGUAAUAAAGCUUUUAUAAAAACUCAAAGGACUGGAUUCUGGAAAUGCCUGAGUUGAUGAACACACCAGUGUGCUGGGAGGUGGCACACCCCAGCUCCACGGGAACAGAAGCUCCUAUGCUCAGGACCCUCCAGACCUAGCUCAGUAAAUCUCUGCAUUUGGCUGUUCAUCUGCUUCCUUCAUUACAUCUUGUAUUAAUAAACCAGUAAAUGUAAGUAAAGUGUUUCCCCGAGUUCUGUGAGCCACUCUAAUAAAUUAAUCGAAUCCAAAGAGGGGGUUGUGGAAACCAAAAUUUAUAGCCAAUUGUUCAGAAAU